AUUGAACGCUGGCGGCAGGCCUAACACAUGCAAGUCGAACGGUAACAGGAAGAAGCUUGCUUCUUUGCUGACGAGUGGCGGACGGGUGAGUAAUGUCUGGGAAACUGCCUGAUGGAGGGGGAUAACUACUGGAAACGGUAGCUAAUACCGCAUAACGUCGCAAGACCAAAGAGGGGGACCUUCGGGCCUCUUGCCAUCGGAUGUGCCCAGAUGGGAUUAGCUAGUAGGUGGGGUAACGGUUCACCUAGGCGACGAUCCCUAGCUGGUCUGAGAGGAUGACCAGCCACACUGGAACUGAGACACGGUCCAGACUCCUACGGGAGGCAGCAGUGGGGAAUAUUGCACAAUGGGCGCAAGCCUGAUGCAGCCAUGCCGCGUGUAUGAAGAAGGCCUUCGGGUUGUAAAGUACUUUCAGCGGGGAGGAAGGGAGUAAAGUUAAUACCUUUGCUCAUUGACGUUACCCGCAGAAGAAGCACCGGCUAACUCC
rnacentral:rRNA from 1 species